CACGUAGGGCGCAAGCGUUGUCCGGAAUUAUUGGGCGUAAAGAGCUCGUAGGCGGUCUGUUACGUCUGCUGUGAAAACCCAGGGCUUAACCCUGGGCUUGCAGUGGAUACGGGCAGACUAGAGGCAGGUAGGGGAGAAUGGAAUUCCCGGUGUAGCGGUGAAAUGCGCAGAUAUCGGGAGGAACACCGGUGGCGAAGGCGGUUCUCUGGAACGCAACUGACGCUGAGACGCGAAAGCGUGGGGAGCAAACAGG
rnacentral:rRNA from 1 species